rnacentral:lncRNA from 1 species
ACCUGGUACAGACUUCAUAUGUUAGUUUCUGACAACCCACUUAAUCAUGCUAUCACAAUAUGAAGAGAUUCUUAUCACUUGAUUAAAGUUAUAUGCACAAAUUUAUCUUCUUAUUUCCAUGGUGGGACUACUAGACUAUGACCACCUUUCCUGUGCAAAUGUUUGAUAAUUUCAUCAGUGUGGGAAGAACCAAAUAUAACCAAAAUCAUCCUUUGGGGUUGUUUGGGACAAAACCUCUCCCACAAUAAUGAUAUCCCGAGUGGUCAUGCAUUCCUCAGUCCUCACUGGAUCAAGAAAAACCACAUCUAAGACAUCCAACAUUUCCCAAUGGAUCAAGGGAACCAAAUCUUAGACAUCCCACAUUCUGCAUCAUAAUAACCAUUAUGGAGACAUCCAAAACAUUGCAUUGGCACUGCUAAUAACAAUCUCCAUGCGUACCAGCCAAUUAAUUUGUAUGAUACAGGCCUUAGAAUCUCACCCAAAACACUUGAUCAUGCCCAGGAAUAGAGAAUCCAUGUUAUCAUUUUCCAACAUGGGACUAUAUGCCAUUGUUGUGAUACAAGGACAGAAGCUUAACCACUUACUAUUUAGUCUUUUUUCCAACAUACAACCUGUGGGAUAUCAAUGAAAUAGCAAAACUGGUGAUUUAGCUUCAACUUAGGAGAUGGUCCUAAGGUGGAUCUUAAGGGAGUGAACCACAAAUUAUCCCAGUAGAUAUAAUCCAAUUUUCUUCUUUACUAAUCCGACUAGCAUAACUCUACUCCCUAUAAUACAGAUCCUCCUCAGCAUUCUGAUUUUAAUUACUGAUCCAUUCUCAUUAGUCUCCUUCAAGAUGAAUAUCCCAGUUCAUCUUUUUUACUUCUUAAGCACACAAAAAUCUAAUUUUGCUGUCUCACAUGUGUUAGGACUCUAGCUAGGAGAGUCCUAAUUGAGAGGGACAUUCAUGUAAAACCUACCAAAGCCGACCCCUAUUAAAGAGGCGAAGAGGCCGGCUAGGAUUAGAAGGUUGUUUCUUAGAGAAGAAUUAGGAGUUGUAAAGGAAUAGGAGUCUUGAGUAGAAGUCCUAUUAGGAGUUGGUUAGAAGUAGGAGUCUUGAGUAAGAGUCCUAUUAGGAGUUAGGGUUUAGAAAUCCUAUAAAUAAUCAUGUAUUCCUUCUCUUUUGAUAAGCAAUAGAUGAAUCUUUUCUGCAGUCUUUGAGCAGCAACUUGGAGGGAGGAACCCCUAUAGAGUUCCAAGGAGGUCGAUCCCCUAAAGAGAUCAACCCCAAGUUUAGAAUCUGCAAGGGUUCUAACACCUGGUAUCAGAGCAGCGUUCUUGGCGUCUCGCUGCCCUUCCACAGCCAUCCAUCAACCCUCCACAACCGCUCAAAGUAAUUCCCACAAUUGCUUAAAAGAUCGUCACCAAAUUCUGUCGUCAUCUCCACCACCACGGAUCAUCCUUUGAUCUCCCCGUGAAUUGCAACAGGUUCUGGUUUUCUACCUUACUACUGCUGUAAUUUAGUUAUCCUUAUUUAAAAAUCCCAAAAAAACUAUUCCUAUAUUUCUGCAUAAACUUUUCGUCAUAAAGUUUUCAUCUCUACGACGAAAGAUAUAUUGCAGAAUUCCAACCGUAUAGCACCGUCUAUUUGAUCUUGCAACUGUGUUUUUUCUAUCCAAAUCUCUACGAAAUUUUUAUGAUAGCUUUGACACUUCCUAACAGUGGAUUUUCCUUUGGUUUCAUCAAAAAAUUCUCAAUAUAAACCACUGAUUUUUUACGUCCAAUCUGCUAUACCUAAAAAUCUGUGCUGCAAAAAAUUUCAGCCGCAUAUUGUUGCCUUAACCCAUCUAUUUACAAUCUUUUUUAAAUAAAAUUUCUUAUACACUUCAUAGAUCAUCUUGCCUUCCAUCUAAGAUUGAUCUAUUAAGAAAUUCAUCUCUAAAAACGAUUUUAUGUUGCUGCAAAUUUUCGUUAUAUCCCGUUGAAAUUUUUCGACGAGAAUUCUGCAAUCAUAACUUACACCAAUUUUCUUGCUGUUAUACUGCCGAAAUUUUCUUAAUUAAAUUAGAUAUCCUUACUGUCAUAUAAACUGUGAUUUUGCUAUCAAUUUCCUCCUCAAUUCUCUCAAGUUUUUUAUGGAAAUUACAUCGAGAAACCGUUGUUUCUUCGACGACAAUUCUACUCUUACAAGACAGCACAUACUUGCUGCAACUUCCACUGAUUUCUAUCAAACCUUUGCUACCAUGUACUACAGAUCCAAAAUAUUCAUCCACAGCCCCAAAACUCCACCAAACCACACCCUCAAACUGCAUCCAAAAUAGCCACAAAAUAAUCCUAAACCGUAGCCUACAUCCACCAAUCCACCAACCCUUUCGACCAUCACCUCUCUCAACUAAUACAUGCGUUUAACCCGACAACAAAAGAGAGAUCUUAACAUCACAGAUUUGGCGGCAUAUACUAUGGCAUAUACUAUGGCAUCUGAGGAAGUAAUCAAUGCUAAAUUUGAAGCCUUCGAGGUGCGAAUGGAGGAUAAGAUUCGGACGCUCUUUACCGAACUCAGAUUGGGCCGACCACUAAGCCCCAAGAAAUCACAUCAAGGAGAGAGCUUUGCCCAAUCGCACCAAGCCCGAAGAUAUGACUUCCAAGAGAGGGGAAGCUCUAUGACCAACCCAAACUAUCCAUGCAUGAGAGUGGACUUCCCUAGAUGGGAAGAAGGAGACCCAAUUGGUUGGAUCUCACGCGCAGAGCGAUAUUUUCGGUACCAUAAAACCGCGGAUGCAUCUAUGGUGAAAAUUACAGUUAUACAUCUUGAAGGGGAUGCUAUACAGUGGUUUGACUGGUUUGAACAUACUUAUGGAGUCCUUUCAUGGCGACAAUUCAAAGAAGGACUGCUGAUCGGCUUCAGACCAACCGAUUACGAGAAUAUUGACGGACAACUAGCAAAGAUCCGACAAACCUCUACCAUUCAGGAGUACCAAACCAGGUUUGAAAGGUUAUCUAACCAAACUCAUGAUUGGUCUCAAAAACAGCUAUUGAGGACCUUCAUUAAGGGCUUGAAGCCAGAGAUCCGAGGAGAAGUUAAAGCGCGACAACCGUAUACACUUAUGGCAGCCAUCUCUUUCGCACGACAUCAAGAGGAGCAAUUGAACCAUAAAGCUCGGAGGACUAGGGUCGCUCCUCAAUCAGUAAUAUUGAAGCCCUUAGCCCCCCCUACUGUCGACCAAGUCCCUACACCAAAGAGGUUAACAAGAGAAGAGCUUCGGGAGCGAUAUGCGAAGGGGUUAUGUUGGCAUUGUGACGAGCCGUGGAGCCGUGAGCAUCGUUGUAGUAAAGGGGGACUUCUAAUGAUUGAACCGAUAGAAGAAGAGGUCAUUGAACAUCCAGAAGAGAGCCUUGAACAUGAAGAAGAAGAUACAGAAGAAGAGCCACAACCGACCGAAGUUACGGUACAUACACUAGCUGGCUACUCAAACCCGCAAACGAUGAAAGUUGGAGGCCUUCUCAAACAACAACCGAUCACUGUUCUCAUCGAUAUGGGCAGCACUAAUAACUUCCUAAACAAUAAGGUUGCUGUCCAUAUGAACUUACCUAUUGAGAAUUGCAGCAGGUUUGUCGUUAAGGUCGCCAACGAACGAAUUUUGAAGUGUGAUCAUAGGUGCCCGCAGGUGAAACUGUUGCUGCAGGACCAAGAGAUAAUUGCAGACUUCUUCCUCCUCCCUCUUGAUGAUCAUGAGGCCAUACUCAGAAUUAAAUGGUUGAUGACAUUAGGUGAUAUUUCUUGGAAUUUUAUGCAACUAAUUAUAAAAUUUUACAGUAAGGAGAAACAGGUGAUACUGCACGGGAAACGUGAGGGCGACGUAACGAUGAUUUGCACACAACAAAUGGAGAAGGUUUUGCAUAAAGCAUGCAGGGGCUUUUUAGUACAACUUGAGCAGCAAAUUAAAGGAGAGCCAAUAGAAUUUGAAGAUCCAAACCUAUUUCCUUUGCUUGCUGAAUUUUCAGAUAUAUUUGACGAGCCGUACAACCUACCUCUUACUCAUCGGCAUGAUCAUUGUAUAAUGAUUUUUUCAGUCAAAUCUCCAGCAAAUACUCAGCCAUAUCGGUAUCCACAUCUCCAGAAGGAUGAAAUAGAAAGGAUUGUAAAAGAGAUGCUUGAAAUAGGAGUUAUUCGGCCAAGUUGCAACCUCUACUCUUCACCGGUGCUACUUGUACGUAAGAAGGACGGAACAUGGCGAAUAUGCGUUGAUUACCGAGCUCUCAAUGGCAUAACCAUCAAGGAUAAAUACCCUAUUCCAGUAGUAGAUGAAUUGCUAGAUGAAAGGGAGCACAAAUCUUCACAAAGCUGGACCUUCGAUCCGGGUAUUAUCAAAUACGAGUGUAUGAAGAAGUCAUACCGAAAACCGCCUUUCGAACACACAACGACCACUACGAAUUUUUACUUUCUUCAACAAAAGAUGAAAUAUCUUGAGCAUAUCAUAUUAGAGGAAGGUGUGACGGUGGAUCCCUUCAAAAUUGAAGCAAUGCAAAACUGGCUUACCCCGAGGAACAUAAAAUUGCUACAUGGCUUUCUGGGUUUAAUAGGCUACUACCGUAAGUUCGUGAAAAACUAUGGAAAGAUCAGUGCACCACUUACUUUCUUACUAGAAAAAGAUGUCUUCCAAUGGUCGGACAGAGCCUCCACUGCCUUCGACAAACUUAAGGCAGCCAUAACGACGACGCCGGUGCUAGCGCUACCAGAUUUCAACCGACCAUUCAUCAUUAAGGCCGAUGCAUUUGGAGACAGAAUGGGAGACGUUCUCAUGCAAGAUGGUCGACCACUCACAUACAUUAGCAAGACAUUGUCUCCCCCCUAUCAAAACAUGUUAACAUAUGAUAAGGAGAUGCUCGCCAUUGUGCACGCAGCAACGAGGUGGAGAUCGUACUUGGAUUUGAUUAUAAAAUAACUUACAAAAAGUGGAAAGAGAAUGUUGUUGCAGAUGCGCUUUCGCAGCUACCUGAGCAAGCUGAAUUUUUGGUCAUUUUUCUUCCAACCAACGACUUCCUUGAGGAUAUUAAGAUGGAAUGACAGGAAGAUUCGGAGACUAGUAAGAUCAAAAAAAAUUGGAGGAAGCACUAAGCUCCGUGGCUCAUUACAAUUGGGACUCAAAAGAAUUAUACUAUAAGGGUACUAAAUUGAAAAGGAGUAUGGCAUAUCACCCACAAAUCGACGGCCAGACAGAAGUUGUAAAUAGGUGCUUGGAGAUAGCCCAAAGCCACCCACCAAAUAUGACUAUCCAAGGAGAACUCCAGACCCAACCAAGUGCCAUUAUUGAUCGAUGGAUCGUGACUCGACAACGAUGACCCACUGCUAAAGUGCUAAUACAGUGGGUGAACCUACUAACAGAAGAUGCCACUUGGGAGAACUAUGACGACUUGAAGAUCAAAUUCUCAAAAUUCAUGAAUUGUCAGCCUCGAGGACAAGGCUGAUUUGAAGAGGACGGGUCUGUUAGGACUCUAGCUAGGAGAGUCCUAAUUUAGAGGGACAUUCAUGUAAAACCUACCUAAGUCGACCCCUAUUAAAGAGGUGAAGAGGUCGGCUAGGGUUAGGAGGUUGUUUCUUAGAGAAGAAUUAUGAGUUGUAAAGGAAUAGGAGUCUUGAGUAGAAGUCCUAUUAUGAGUUGGUUAGAAGUAGGAGUCUUGAGUAGGAGUCCUAUUAGGAGUUAGGGUUUAGAAACCCUAUAAAUAGCCAUGUAUUUCUCCUCUUUUGAUAAGCAAUAGAUGAAUCUUUUCUACAGCCUUUGAGCAGCAACUUGGAGGGAGGAACCCCUGUAGAGUUCCAAGGAGGCCGAUCUCCUAAAGAGAUCAACCCCAAGUUUAGAAUCUACAAGGGUUCUAACAACAUGCCAAUAGCUAAACAUUUUUUUGAUGCAAAUCUUUCACUCUUUUUUUCUUGUGACUGCUUCACAUAAUCAUUUUCCUAUUCUCUCGACUGCUUCUUCACCUAAACAAACAUUUCUCUUGCUAAACCCCAAAAUCCUUUAUGCCUUACAAAUGAGAACAUACAACAGAUCAAGAAAUCCUAGGGCUCGUAGUUCGCCAAUUACUAGUAGAACUCCGAAAUAAUCGACCUUGCUUACCUAGUACCAAAGAGAUGAAUCCACUAACAAAAACCAUUUUUUUUCCACCUCCACAUUUCAAGAACUUUCAAAGAUGGUUCGAUUUCGAGAAUCUUACAAGACAUAAGUUUAAAGAGAUCUAUCAUCAUCGUCAUCUGCCACAGCAAAACAAAAGAUUGAGAGCUUCCAAC